rnacentral:rRNA from 1 species
UGCGAUAAGCGUCGGUAAGGUGAUAUGAACCGUUAUAACCGGCGAUUUCCGAAUGGGGAAACCCAGUGUGAUUCGUCACACUAUCAUUAACUGAAUCCAUAGGUUAAUGAGGCGAACCGGGGGAACUGAAACAUCUAAGUACCCCGAGGAAAAGAAAUCAACCGAGAUUCCCCCAGUAGCGGCGAGCGAACGGGGAGGAGCCCAGAGCCUGAAUCAGUGUGUGUGUUAGUGGAAGCGUCUGGAAAGGCGCGCGAUACAGGGUGACAGCCCCGUACACAAAAAUGCACAUGCUGUGAGCUCGAUGAGUAGGGCGGGACACGUGGUAUCCUGUCUGAAUAUGGGGGGACCAUCCUCCAAGGCUAAAUACUCCUGACUGACCGAUAGUGAACCAGUACCGUGAGGGAAAGGCGAAAAGAACCCCGGCGAGGGGAGUGAAAAAGAACCUGAAACCGUGUACGUACAAGCAGUGGGAGCACGCUUAGGCGUGUGACUGCGUACCUUUUGUAUAAUGGGUCAGCGACUUAUAUUCUGUAGCAAGGUUAACCGAAUAGGGGAGCCGAAGGGAAACCGAGUCUUAACUGGGCGUUAAGUUGCAGGGUAUAGACCCGAAACCCGGUGAUCUAGCCAUGGGCAGGUUGAAGGUUGGGUAACACUAACUGGAGGACCGAACCGACUAAUGUUGAAAAAUUAGCGGAUGACUUGUGGCUGGGGGUGAAAGGCCAAUCAAACCGGGAGAUAGCUGGUUCUCCCCGAAAGCUAUUUAGGUAGCGCCUCGUGAAUUCAUCUCCGGGGGUAGAGCACUGUUUCGGCAAGGGGGUCAUCCCGACUUACCAACCCGAUGCAAACUGCGAAUACCGGAGAAUGUUAUCACGGGAGACACACGGCGGGUGCUAACGUCCGUCGUGAAGAGGGAAACAACCCAGACCGCCAGCUAAGGUCCCAAAGUCAUGGUUAAGUGGGAAACGAUGUGGGAAGGCCCAGACAGCCAGGAUGUUGGCUUAGAAGCAGCCAUCAUUUAAAGAAAGCGUAAUAGCUCACUGGUCGAGUCGGCCUGCGCGGAAGAUGUAACGGGGCUAAACCAUGCAC